AGGCAUGUUCACACUUAAUACACCAACCUAUAAGAGUUGAACGACGGAGUAUACCAAAAAAACUAACUUCGAGAAAUCAAAAAUACUUCCAUAUACUUGCCCAAAACUUAAACUUUUCAAUUGUAAAAAUGAAGUUAUUUAAAACAGACUGCGAAUAGAUCACACAAAGAUUUCUCAUGGUCAUCGUAUGCGAAAAGAAGAAAAAACACUCUUCCGAACUUGUGGUAAAUCUCUUACAGUCAAGCAUCUUCUAGUCUACCUACUGUUUAAAUCACGUGGAAACCAGAAGAUGCCUAGGAAUCUCAGACAACCUCUUCGAAGCCCUCAGCCCAGAUGAAGACAAUAGCAACG